CACAUGCAAGUCGAACGGACUCUUCGGAGUUAGUGGCGGACGGGUGAGUAACGCGUGAGAAUCUGGCUUCAGGUCGGGGACAACAGUUGGAAACGACUGCUAAUACCGGAUAUGCCGAAAGGUGAAAGAUUUAUUGCCUGGAGAUGAGCUCGCGUCUGAUUAGCUAGUUGGUGGGGUAAGAGCCUACCAAGGCGACGAUCAGUAGCUGGUCUGAGAGGAUGAUCAGCCACACUGGGACUGAGACACGGCCCAGACUCCUACGGGAGGCAGCAGUGGGGAAUUUUCCGCAAUGGGCGAAAGCCUGACGGAGCAAUACCGCGUGAGGGAGGAAGGCUCUUGGGUCGUAAACCUCUUUUCUCAAGGAAGAAAAAAAUGACGGUACUUGAGGAAUAAGCAUCGGCUAACUCCGUGCCAGCAGCCGCGGUAAUACGGAGGAUGCAAGCGUUAUCCGGAAUGAUUGGGCGUAAAGGGUCCGCAGGUGGAACUGAAAGUCUGCUGUUAAAGAAUCUGGCUCAACCAGAUAAAAGCAGUGGAAACUACAGAACUAGAGUGCGUUCGGGGCAGAAGGAAUUCCUGGUGUAGCGGUGAAAUGCGUAGAUAUCAGGAAGAACACCGGUGGCGAAAGCGUUCUGCUAGGCCGCAACUGACACUGAGGGACGAAAGCUAGGGGAGCGAAUGGGAUUAGAUACCCCAGUAGUCCUAGCCGUAAACGAUGGAUACUAGGCGUGGCUUGUAUCGACCCGAGCCGUGCCGGAGCUAACGCGUUAAGUAUCCCGCCUGGGGAGUACGCACGCAAGUGUGAAACUCAAAGGAAUUGACGGGGGCCCGCACAAGCGGUGGAGUAUGUGGUUUAAUUCGAUGCAACGCGAAGAACCUUACCAAGACUUGACAUCCUGCGAAUCCUGCUGAAAGGUGGGAGUGCCUUCGGGAGCGCAGAGACAGGUGGUGCAUGGCUGUCGUCAGCUCGUGUCGUGAGAUGUUGGGUUAAGUCCCGCAACGAGCGCAACCCUCGUUUUUAGUUGCCAGCAUUAAGAUGGGCACUCUAGAGAGACUGCCGGUGACAAACCGGAGGAAGGUGAGGAUGACGUCAAGUCAGCAUGCCCCUUACGUCUUGGGCUACACACGUACUACAAUGCUACGGACAAAGGGCAGCUACACAGCGAUGUGAUGCAAAUCUCAUAAACCGUAGCUCAGUUCAGAUCGAAGGCUGCAACUCGCCUUCGUGAAGGAGGAAUCGCUAGUAAUUGCAGGUCAGCAUACUGCAGUGAAUUCGUUCCCGGGCCUUGUACACACCGCCCGUCACACCAUGGAAGUUGGUCACGCCCGAAGUCAUUACCCCAACC
rnacentral:rRNA from 1 species